rnacentral:rRNA from 1 species
GACGAACGCUGGCGGCGUGCCUAAUACAUGCAAGUAGGACGCAGUUGCGACCGGGUGAGUAACGCGUCGGUAACUGCCUAUUAGAGGGGGAUAACUAUUGGAAACGAUAGCUAAUACCGCAUACUCGUAGAUGGACCUGCGUUGUAUUAGCUAGUAGGUAGGGUAAUGGCCUACCUAGGCGACGAUACAUAGCCGACAUGAGGGGGUGAUCGGGAACACUGGGACUUAGACACGGGCAAGAAUCCGACGGGAGGAAGCAGUAGGGAAUCUUCGGCAAUGGGGGGAACCCUGACCGAGCAACGGCGCGUGAGUGAAGAAGGUGUUCAGAUCGUAAAGCUCUGUUGUUAAGGAAGCGGUACGUAACCAGAAAGGGACGGCUAACUACGUGCCAGCAGCCGCGGUAAUUA